rnacentral:lncRNA from 1 species
AACUCUCUCUCUUUCUGAUUGAGUGUAAGCUGCUAUAUGAAGGGAUCCACAAGACGAAUAAUUAAGGGGGACCUCUGAUCAACAGCCAGCAAGGAACUGAAUCCCUCAGACCCACAACUCACAAGAAACUGAAGCUGAAGCAGAUUCUUCCUCAGUCAAGCUUCAGGUGCCCAGCUGUAUUGGUAGAGGAGACCAACCACACCCUCCACAGCACAGCACCUGGAGAGGAACUGCUGCCAUGACCAUAGAGGACACCCUCUGGAUACAAUGCCAGACUUGAUGUGGGACUGACCAACCUAUGGACCCCAGGCACCACCACCCAGACCUGCUCAGCACCUGAAACAUUCACAGCCGUGGAGAGAGAACUGUUCACUGCUACCAUCCACACUUCUGGGCCCCUUCAGCAGCAGGGUGACAAGGAAGAGGGAAAUCGACUUGGAAAAGAGGGGACCUCUGACCCAAGAGUUCGGUCAAUGCAUAUGUUGGCAGCCAGCUGCACAUCGCACCAAAUAUGAACUUCAAAUAGAAGAAAGCCUCAUUUGGAAGAAAGCUCAUGCACAGACUGUAAAUAUUUCAGAGCAGAUUGUGUCUCUGUAGAUUAACCGGAUACAGUGGCUUGCACCUGUGGUCUCAGCGACUUGGGCGACUGAAGCAAGAAGAUCACUUGAGCCUAGGAGUUCGAGGCUACAGCAAGCUAUGACCGUGCCACUGCACUCCAGCCUGGGCGUGACAGACCAGCUCUUCUUCUGAAGGAUGACCACCUGGAAUAAGAGCAGCCCUAGGCCCCCCACCUCACUCCAGGUGGCAGAUCCACAGAGAUGGUAGCGAUACAGAAGCACAGCUUCCGAUGGCUUCCCCGUGUCUUCAGUUUGCAGCCUUAUUUCGGUGCUUGGACGUGCUUAACUUCUCAGGAUUAUAUUCUGCUUUGGAGUGCAAGGAGAAAGUCACAGUCUAGUUUUAUGAAGACCAAACUAGAGAAAAUCGAGUUAUCUUAAAGUGUAUGACAUCUCCACAAAUGAAUGUUUAUGGCUUUACACUUGGAGUGUUCUUGGAACACUCUUCAUAGCAAAUCCUCCCUCAGAAGACCCCCACCUGGCAUCAGAACAAACGAUGCUCUUUUUCUUCCACCCCUGGGCCUGCCUAUUUUCCUCCCUUGUUAUUGACAGUCAGCCUUCGUGGGACUUGGUCACAAUGUAGGAUCAGAAAGCACAGGUGGUGGAAAUCCUGAAAUGCUUCUGGCUCUGGGAUGAAGGCUAAGUCCUUAGGAUGGCUGGCAUUUGUAACUCCUACUGUAGUUCACACCCAUGUGGGCUCAGCACUAGCACAGUGCUUUUCUGAUGUCAUAGAUGAACGGAUGGCAUACAGAAAGUAAGGAGCUUCUCAGGUCUUGGCAGAGUUGCAGGUAGUUUGACUAAAGUUGGACUCCUUAACUGGUGGUGGCUUAAUAGAUAAAACAUUGAAUUUUCUUAUCAAUUUAAAGAAGAAUCUCAUUCCUUUUUGAAGAAAAAACCCCAAAGAUAACUUCCCUGGGGUAGGGUGGGGUGUCUUAGAUUGUUUUUCAGAGUUAGUCAUUCAAAAAUUUAGUCUAAAUAUUCACCCAAUGAGUUUUAUUCCUCCCUUCCAAAUAGCAAUAAAAAUUUUAAAA